AAGCAGAAGCUGGGGUCCCUGGCCUCUGCAGCCCAGAGCUCUGGCCAGGGGAGGGGGACCUUUGGCUGCGAGGGAUUCUGGGUCUUCUGCUGCCCAUGGCCUGGCCCCCUCUGCUGCCCCCAUCCUUGCCACUUCUCCACCUGUGGAACCCACCCGCCACUUGUUGGCCCUUCUUGUACUAGGGUUUGGGGAGCCGGGAGACGACACGUUGUAGCCACAUCCUCCUGCAGGAGCUGCCCACUGAGGCCCAGUCUCAGCAAGGUGGGCUCCAACCCGCCAGUCCUGCCGGGAGCCUUCCCUGGGGAGGCGGGCCCACGGGCAGGGCCAAUAGCAGCACGCCUGGCCAACCCCACGUCCCUGCUGCCAACCCAGACAACAGCGGCGCCGCGGGUCCCAGCGAGCGUCGGGCCAAACCCUUGCUUUUCUCCUCAAAAUGGGGCAAAUCCCAAACCCCAGGAGGGCAUGAGUGCCCAGGUACCGCUGUGGCGCAAGCACGCUGCCCACAGGAGAAAUGGGAAAGGACACAGGGGGAAGGUCGCAGCCCGAGCGAAGCAGGGAAACUGAAGAGGAGGCAGUGAAGGAUGUGUCAGCCACCUGGUACCCCUUUGCUACCACACUUUUGGGAGCUGCAUCCACAUCAUUCUGCCCCGGGCUUAGGGUCACACAACUAGUGAGACUGGAUUUGCACUCAAGUCUUGCUACAGGUGCAGCUGGUGAUGACUGAUCAAUUAGCAUAUUUAUAUAUUAUAAACUAAGGAGCUUGAGUGGGUGGUCUUCAAAGUUUCUUCUGUUCUAAAUCUAUGAUCUUAUGACCCAUGGACCAGGGCCCUCCCCUUCCUCCGCAAUAGGUUCAAUGCCUGGCUGUCAGUAUCUUUCUCCCUUAUAACCCCUGGCUCUGACUUUUGGGGGGCUCAGCCUGCUCAGAUUGCCACCAAACCCUCUCCACCCCAUAUUUCAGUGGUUGUCCCUUCUUAGACCCAUCCCUAAUGUUAACCACAUUCAAUGAACCUCUCACGCUUCACUCUCAGAACUCCAUCCUCUCUCCACUGAAAGUUGAUGUCUUAAAUCUCUGUGCUCAUCUCUGGGAGAGGAAAGAGAAGAAGUCACUGAUGCAGAUCUGAUGACCAUCUCCUGCCCUGCCCUCUUUAGGGAGUCCUGAGCCAAGGGGAGCAUGGGGAACAGUAAUAUUUAUCAUCCUGGCUCUCUGUGUGCCCCGGAGUCAGGGCCCAGGGGUUUGGGAGGAAGUUGGAAACAGAUUGGGAAAUAAAGGCGUGCUUUUAUCUAGUAAUUGUGUAUGGGGAUGUCUGUAGUGAGGGGGUGUGUUGGAGCAAACAGAGCUGCAUCUCUUUCCCUCUGACAUCAAACAGCCAGCUCAGUUCUGGCCCAUCUCCCAGGGUGAGGAGGGAGUAUGGGAUGGGUGUGUGGAGGGAGGGAGAGGUGAAGAGGAGGUUGAUUCCAGCCUGGAGUGGCCCCAGUUAGGAGGACUUUUGAAAGUAGAGGGAGUUGUACAAUCAUCUCAAGGGAUGGGAACUGCUCCAGGGGCUCCUCGGGGUACUGGGACUUGGGGAAAAACUAGACCUCUUGGGGUCAUUGUGCAUUACACAAGAUUUUUCAGGUUUUUAGUGAAGAGAGUUCUGAUUGAUUUGACCUUCUCCACACACACAGACACACUUCUCGCCUUCCCUGAGUUCUGGGGGUGUGAGAAAUGGGGAGAAAGAUUCCCAUUCUGGAGGUGAUGUCUGCUUAAUGAGGAGAUACCAGCAUGAAUGGGUAAGGGAGAGCCCAAAGUGUCUACCCAAGCUAUUGCCCAACCCAGGGCUGACCUAAAACUUGACUGGUCUCUGGCCACCUACUGGUACUCUCCCUUGACUCUCUGUUUCCCCCAAUUAAAACCUAAUUGUUUUAUAAAUAUCUAAUCUUAUCAUUAUAUUUUUAUAUUAUAUAAUUGGAAAUUUUUUUCUUAUAAAUAUUUUACCAAGAAGCAACCCAGUUAGUGGACGGACAGAGAACCAUCCAUGAAGCCUGAAAAUCCUGGGUUCAAAUCUCACUUCUGAAACAUCAUGGUUGUAUGACCCUGGCCUAGUCCCAUAGUCUCAUAAUUCUGUAUGUAGGACAGAAGUAUCAGAUACUUGGCCCUAGAAGGCCUGAACCAGGUUAAAAUGGAACUGGGAAAUAUUUAUUAAAAUAAAUAAAUAAAUAGAAUAGAAUAAAGAAAAUGCUAACAUGUGGUUUUCUAAGUCAAUAGCUUACAGGAAUCAUUAUGCACUGUUUAUUCAUUUUAUUUUGAUAAUAAGUUUUUAUUUUCAAAAUACAUGUAAAGAUAGUUAUCAAUGUUCACCCUUGCAAAACCUCAUGUGCCAUAGUUUUCUUCCUCUCUCCCCACCUCCUCCUAUGUCUAGACAGCAAGUAAUCCAAUAUAGGUUAAACAUGUGCACUUCUAAACAUAUUUCCAUAUUUAUCAUGCUGUAGAAAAAAAAUCAGAAUAAAAAGAGAAAAACUGAGAAAGAAAGAAAGCAAAACAACAACAAAAAAGGUGAAAAUACUACAUUGUGAUCCACAUUCAGUCCCCACAAUCCUCCCUCUGGGUGCAGAUGGCUCUCUCCAUCACAAGUCCAUUGGAAUUGGUCUGAAUCUCCUCAUUGUUGAAAAGAGCCAUGUCCAUCACAGCUGAUCAUCACCUUAUGUUCGGUUUAGUAGUCCCUGUUUCUAUUGCAUUUGAUUUCUCUGUUCUAGGAAACCAAGAAAGAGUUCUUAACAUUAACUCCAUGAACUUAUUUAUUCAAUUUUUUUGAAAGCCAUAUUUUAAUAUGAGUUCCUUUGUAACAUGUAUUUCAUUUUAUGCAUUCAACAGCAUUAAUCUGAGAAGAUUCUAAAUAGGAUUUAUGCCAGCCCAAGGAGUCCACAGCACAAAGAAAGCCAAGAACCCCUACUUUAAGAUAAAAAGAUGCCAGAGAAUUUCCUUACAUGAAAGUCCCCUAUUCCAAUGAAAUCACCGGUCCCAGCUCUCUCUCUUACCAGUCCUUCAUAUUUUAGCAUAAACUUCAGUUAGUGGGAUAUCUUUUUUAGGGAUGUUAAAACAAAAAAACUCUUGUGGCUAAUGGUGAAAUGAAAGUUUUGUCCCCAAAGACCUAGUUCAAACAUCAAAAUGGCAGAAAGUGAUAUUCCUGAAAUUAGUAAGUAAAAUAUAUAUUUUUUAAAAUUUUACUUAAUCCUAUUUUUAUAGGUUUGUAUAGUUAGUAGUAUUUUAUUUUUUAUAGGUAAAGAUAGUUUUCAACAUUCAUUUUUGUAAGAUUUCAAGUUCCAAUUUUUUUCUCCUUUCCUCCUUUUCUUUCCAAAGAAUAUGAAUAUUUGUUAAAUAUUUAGCAUUAUGCUAAGUGUUGAGGAUACAUAGGAAAAAAUAGUCUCUACUCUCAAGGGAGUUACAGUCAAAUGCAGGAAACAAUAUACAGACAAUUAAUAAGAUACAUUUGAAAUAGCCAAUAGCUUAUUAGCUGUGUGAGACUCCGAGCAAGUCUCUUCAUUCUGUUUGCCUCAGUUUCCUCAUCUGCAAAAUGAGCUGGACAAUGGAAUGAAAAACCACUCCAGAAUCUUUGCCAAGAAAACCCCAAAUGGGAUCAUGAAGUCAGACAACUAAAAAUGACUGAACAACAACAAUAACGAGAUUGGACUACCUUGAGGGCCAUUCUAACUAUGAGAUUCCGUGACUUUGAAAAUCUAAGUGAAGAGAAGAGGUGGUACAGUCCCAGGUGAUAUCCACCUAGAAUGAAGGGGGUUAAGGAAAAGUUUCUUACAGAAGGUAUUGGAAGGAGUCUUGUGGGUUAGUGGAAAGAAAAUUGGAUUUGAAGUUAAGAGAAACCUGGAUUCCACUCCCACCUUUGACAUGAGUAAAAUCACCACAAGCAAAUCACUUGACCUUUCUAAACUUCAGUUUUCUCAAUUGUAAAAUGGGGAUUAUUGUUCUUGUAGAGAUUAUUUUAUUGGUAGAUGCCCAUCAAUUGGGGAAAGGCUAAGUUAUGGUAUGUGAAAGUACUAUGAAAUAAGUUAUUAUUGUCUAUUAAAAAUGAACAAGCUGAUUUUAGAAAGGGCUGGAAAGAUGAACAAGAAUUGAUACUCCACUAAACAAGCAGAACCAGGAAUACAUUGUACACAGUAACAGCAAGAUUGUCAACUAUAAAAGACUUGCUUCUUCUCAAUGGUUCAGUGAUCUAAUACCAAUAAACUUUGGAUGGAAAAAGUCGUCCGAAUCCAGAGAGAGAACUAUGGAGACUGAAUAUAAAUCAACACGUGCUAUGUUUGCUUUUUUUCUUUUUCUUCUGUUCUAUUUUUCUCUCAUAUUUUUUCCCUUUUAUUCUGAUUUUUCUCUUCCAACAUGAUUCUUAAGAAGAUAUAUUUUAAAAAUUAAAUUUACAUGUAUAACAAAAAUUCAAUUAAAAAAUAAAAAAGAAAUUAUCUCAUUAGAUAGUUUUAAGUAUAAAAUAAGAUAAUGCAUAAUGGAGUGCCAGUUUUCUCAUGGGCAUAGAUGUGAAGAAGUCCUGCUUAUCUACCAAGAGUGCAUCAUAAAGUUUAUGGCUUUAAAGGGUUGCAAAGAAUUAGAAAAGGAAAAGAGCUCUUUCAUGGACUAAUGUAGAAAAUCCACCAGAGUGGCUGACUUUGGAUUGGGAUAAUCAUGGACAGGGAAGCCCUCUUUAGUGAAAAUCUUGUUCCUUUUCCUUUAGAGCCCUACAAGACAAUUAGGCAAUAUCCUGGCCCUUGAUUCAGCCUAAGUGUUUCAGGUCUCGCUUCCACACUAGUGCUACUGACAACAUGUGGGUCUGCUG
rnacentral:lncRNA from 1 species